GUUGUAUGGUAUAUGCUCUAGUUUCUUCAAAUUUUGCUUAAUGAUGGCUUAUCUUAAGAAGCUUAUCUUGAAUCUAACUUUGCUAUUUACCCUUCUCCUUUCAAUAAAAUUAGCAACAGCAAGUGCACACCUCUCGAAUAACAAAACAGAUGGACGUUUCCUUAAUGUUAGUGAAGAUGCACCACAGGGCCACCAUUAUAAUCAUGGAUGA